rnacentral:rRNA from 1 species
CAUUGGGAUUGAGACACGGCCCAAACUCCUACGGGAGGCAGCAGUGGGGAAUAUUGCACAAUGGGGGAAACCCUGAUGCAGCGACGCCGCGUGAGCGAAGAAGUAUUUCGGUAUGUAAAGCUCUAUCAGCAGGGAAGAAGAAAUGACGGUACCUGACUAAGAAGCACCGGCUAAAUACGUGCCAGCAGCCGCGGUAAUACGUAUGGUGCAAGCGUUAUCCGGAUUUACUGGGUGUAAAGGGAGCGCAGGCGGUACGGCAAGUCUGAUGUGAAAGCCCGGGGCUCAACCCCGGUACUGCAUUGGAAACUGUCGGACUAGAGUGUCGGAGGGGUAAGUGGAAUUCCUAGUGUAGCGGUGAAAUGCGUAGAUAUUAGGAGGAACACCAGUGGCGAAGGCGGCUUACUGGACGAUUACUGACGCUGAGGCUCGAAAGCGUGGGGAGCAAACAGGAUUAGAUCCCCUGGUACUGCACGCCGUAAACGA